GCCGACCCUCCCUCCCAGAUCCUCCCACCUCUUGGACAGCAUCCAUUUUGAAGCUGUCCAGGAGGUGGGAGGAUCUGGGAGGGAGGGUCUGC